AUGCCAGAUCUCCAGGGGCUGUUUUCUCUUCCUGGCAAAAAUUGUUCAAAUGAGCUAGAGUCAAAUAUAAGUAUUUACAAAAUAUUGGGCCCACGCGCCACUGCAUCCCGCGCCCAGCGCCUACGUCCCGCCACCGUCGCCACCGUGCCCAAGAGAAAGGCUGAAGGGGAUGCUGAAAGAGACAAAGCCAAGGUGAAGGACGAACCACAGAGAAGAUCCGAGAGGUUGUCUGCUAAACCUGCUCUUCCAAAGCCAGAGCCCAAGCCUAAAAAGGUCCUUGCAAAGAAGGGAGAGAAGGUACCCAAAGGGAAAAAGGGAAAAGCUGAUGCUGGCAAGGAAGGGAAUAACCCCGCAGAAAAUGGAGAGGCCAAAACAGACCGGGCACAGAAGGCCGACGGUGCUGGAGAUGCCAAGUGAAGGGUGUGUAUUUUUGAUAACUGUGUACUUCUGGUGACUGUACAGUUUGAAAUACUAUUUUUUAUCAAGUUUUAUAAAAAUGCAGAAUUUUGUUUGACUUUUUUUAUUUUUUUAAGCUAUGUUGUUAGCACACAGAACACUUCAUUGUUGUUUUGGGGGAAGGGGCAUAUGUCACUAAUAGAAUGUCUCCAAAGCUGGAUUGAUGUGGGGAAACGCCUUAUCCUUCCAGUUUUGAGAGACUUCCUCUUGGCUCCCAGGAGGAGGGAUUCCCUGACUUUGACACACAUGGACCCCUUGGCACACAAAAGCCUUGUGGCAUGGAAAAACAAAUUCAUUUUUAUGUCCUCUUCUCCCUUUCCAUCUUUCAGCAUAGACUUAGCUCCCUUAAGCCCAGACAUCUGUUGGGACCUGACCCCCAGUCAUUGGUUACCAGUGGGUCAGGCAAUCUGGACUUGCCAGUGAUGCCACUGAGAUGGCACCUGUCAAAAGAGCAGUGAUUCCAUUUCUAGAUUGUGGCUCUUCAGAUAAAUUCUGCCAUUUUCAUUUCACUUCCUGAAAGUCAGGGUCGGCUCGUGAAAAGUUGUUAAACAAUAUGCUAAAUGUGAAAUGUCAACCUUCACUCUAAACUUUCCCUGUUCAGAGCAUCAGAUGAAGAUUUCAUUGGGUUUUAUAGUGGCUUUCUGAUUUUUGGUAGUCUAUCAAAGAAGGGAGUUUGAAAGUUGUUGUAUACUGUUAACGAUUGUCUGCCCAUGUCCUGCCUGAAAUACCAUGAUUGUUUAUGGAAAGUAUCUUUAAUAAAGCUGGAUACAGUUUGGCUUGGAAAAAA